CCAUGAUGCUGGGCCGGGAUGGUUGCGGGGAGCCUGCUGCUCCCGACUAGCUGGCCCUGAGGGAGGGAGGGAUGUGGGGGAACGUUCCUAGCAGCUGCCGAAACCAUUUGUUUCAGGGAUCCUCCCUGUUUCUUCCCGGCUGGGCACUGGCUGCCAACUUAACUGUUUUCCUUGGUGGAACAGAAACAGGCGUCUGGAAGAGCUGACGAACUCCAGGACUAAGUCCACCGCUCGAAGCCUCUCAGAGCCCAGCGCCCUCAGCAGCACCCUCGCAUUUGGAGCCUCUCAGAGCCCAGCGCCCUCAGCAGCACCCUCGCAUUUGGAGCCUCUCAGAGCCCAGCGCCCUCAGCAGCACCCUCGCAUUUGGAGCCUCUCAGAGCCCAGCGCCCUCAGCAGCACCCUCGCAUUUGGAUAGCCAGCCUGCAUCUGUGUUGCACCUGCUUCGUCUCCCCUGGGGCCUUCUCCAAAAUGGACCCAGUGUCUAUUUUGUUAUCU
ensembl:lncRNA